GAAUUUGGUAGCUUUGGGGAGGGGUGGGGCAACACUUUCUCUCUUUUCAGGUAUGCUGUUGUGAUUCUUCUAAAAUUGAGCCCGAGCUGUAACAUUGGAGUGGAUGGAUGUGCUUGCGUCAAAGCAAUUGCGUAACAAGUAUUUGGAAUGGAUUGUAAAUUUUUUUGCUCUGUUCUUUCAUUGCAGCUGUAGACUUGCUAACACUUUACUCCGAAGAGUUGGGUGUAAAGCGUCACUGGCUGGAGAUAAGUUUUUACGUGCACUUUUGCCAUUUAAAGAUUAUGAAAAUAGUUUGGGGAGUCUGUGGGGGGGAACGGAAAAACCCUGCGAGCGUCUGUCUAGUUACAGGAAUGGUGACUCACAAAGGCAGGAUUUUGUUCUGGCCAUGUUGGCGGGAUUUCGACACCUGGACCAUUGUUUGGUGCUAUUAAAUGGGAACAAGUCACACCUGAAUGCAAGUGCAACCUUGUUCAAGACCUCGCUGGUCAGAGAUUUGAUCUUCCAAGUAGAAGCAUAUGAAAAUUUUACCGUAACUUCAAUAGUAGCUAUGGCAUUUUGGAUGUUUUGA
rnacentral:lncRNA from 1 species